rnacentral:rRNA from 1 species
UACGUAGGGGGCUAGCGUUGUCCGGAAUCAUUGGGCGUAAAGCGCGUGUAGGCGGCCCGGUAAGUCCGCUGUGAAAGUCGGGGGCUCAACCCUCGGAUGCCGGUGGAUACUGUCGGGCUAGAGUGGCAGAAGGGGCAACUGGAAUUCUCGGUGUAGCGGUGAAAUGCGUAGAUAUCGAGAGGAACACCUGCGGCGAAGGCGGGUUGCUGGGCUGACACUGACGCUGAGGCGCGAAAGCUAGGGGAGCGAACGGG